AGCGAACGCUGGCGGCAGGCCUAACACAUGCAAGUCGAACGAACCUUUCGGGGUUAGUGGCGGACGGGUGAGUAACACGUGGGAACGUGCCUUUAGGUUCGGAAUAACUCAGGGAAACUUGUGCUAAUACCGAAUGUGCCCUUCGGGGGAAAGAUUUAUCGCCUUUAGAGCGGCCCGCGUCUGAUUAGCUAGUUGGUUGAGGUAAUGGCUCACCAAGGCGACGAUCAGUAGCUGGUCUGAGAGGAUGAUCAGCCACAUUGGGACUGAGACACGGCCCAAACUCCUACGGGAGGCAGCAGUGGGGAAUCUUGCGCAAUGGGCGGAAGCCUGACGCAGCCAGGCCGCGUGAAUGAUGAAGGUCUUAGGAUUGUAAAAUUCUUUCACCGGGGACGAUAAUGACGGUACCCGGAGAAGAAGCCCCGGCUAACUUCGUG
rnacentral:rRNA from 1 species